CAAUAGCGUAUAUUAAAGUUGUUGCAGUUAAAAAGCUCGUAGUUGAACUUCAGACUUGGCCGGUGGUCUGCCUAACGGUAUGUACUGCUUGGCUGAGUCUUACCUCUUGGUGAGCCGGCAUGUCCUUCACUGGAUGUGUCGGGGAACCAGGAUCUUUACCUUGAGAAAAUCAGAGUGUUCAAAGCAGGCCUAUGCCCGAAUGCAUUAGCAGGGAAUAAUAAAAUAGGACGUGUGUCUCUAUUUUGUUGGUUUCUAGUGACGCCGUAAUGAUUAAUAGGGACAGUUGGGGGCAUUAGUAUUCGGUUGCUAGAGGUGAAAUUCUUGGAUUUACCGAAGACUAACUACUGCGAAAGCAUUUGCCAAGGAUGUUUUCAUUA
rnacentral:rRNA from 1 species